rnacentral:rRNA from 1 species
AUUGAACGCUGGCGGCAGGCUUAACACAUGCAAGUCGAGCGAGCGGCGGACGGGUGAGUAAUGUCUGGGAAACUGCCUGAUGGAGGGGGAUAACUACUGGAAACGGUAGCUAAUACCGCAUACCAUCAGAUGUGCCCAGAUGGGAUUAGCUAGUAGGUGGGGUAAUGGCUCACCUAGGCGACGAUCCCUAGCUGGUCUGAGAGGAUGACGAGCGAAACGGGAACGGAGACACGGUCAAGAAGCCUACGGGAGGCAGCAGUGGGGAAUAGUGCAAAAUGGGCGCAAGCCUGAUGCAGCCAUGCCGCGUGUGUGAAGAAGGCCUUCGGGUUGUAAAGCACUUUCAGCGAGGAGGCGUUACUCGCAGAAGAAGCACAGGCUAACGCCGUGCCAGCAGCCGCGGUAAUUC